rnacentral:rRNA from 1 species
GUCUCUUUGGAAGUAUAAAGAGUCUAAUCUGCCCAGUGAUAUUUUAACGGCCGCAGUAUCCUGACUGUGCAAAGGUAGCAUAAUAAUUUGCCCUAUAAUUGGGGGCUGGAAUGAAAGAUUGAAUGGGGUGACACUGUCUCUGUAAAAUUAUAUAGAACUUAUUUUUUAUGUGAAGGCACAUAAAUACAAUUGAGUGACGAGAAGACCCUAUCGAGCUUUAGAUUUAAUUUCUAUAGAAGAAUUAUGAUCUUUGAUUGGGGCAAUCCAAGAACAAGUAAAGUUUCUUGUAUUUUAUGUAGAUCCAGUAAGAUUGAUAACAGAUUUAGUUACCGUAGGGAUAACAGCAUUAUUCUUUUAUAGAGCCCUUAUCGAAAAAAGAGUUUGUGACCUCGAUGUUGGACUAAGAUACCUAUAGGUGCAGCAG